GGGAACAUAGCCUAAUGGUAGAGCAUCUGCUUUGCACGCAGAAGGUCCUAGGUUCUACCCCUGGGGUUUCCA